rnacentral:rRNA from 1 species
UACGUAGGGGGCAAGCGUUGUCCGGAAUCAUUGGGCGUAAAGCGCGUGUAGGCGGCCCGAUAAGUCCGCUGUGAAAGUCGGGGGCUCAACCCUCGAAUGCCGGUGGAUACUGUCGGGCUAGAGUGCGGAAGAGGCGAGUGGAAUUCCUGGUGUAGCGGUGAAAUGCGCAGAUAUCAGGAGGAACACCAAUUGCGAAGGCAGCUCGCUGGGACGCUACUGACGCUGAGACGCGAAAGCGUGGGGAGCAAACAGG